AGAGCACACGGUGGAUGCCUUGGCACCAGAAGCCGAUGAAGGACGUGGACGGCUGCGAUAAGCCGCGGUGAGGCGCUGAACAGCCUUCGACCCGCGGAUCUCCGAAUGGGGCAACCCGGCCAGAGUAAUGUCUGGUCAUCCUCAGCUGAAUAUAUAGGCUGAGAGAAGGUAAGCGGGCGAACUGAUACAUCUAAGUAGCCCGAGGAAAGGAAAGAAACAUCGACUCCCUGAGUAGCGGCGAGCGAAACGGGAUGAGCCCAAACCGUAUCUGCGCGAUUGCGUGCAGGCUUAUCAGGUACGGUGUUGUAGGGCUGGUUUUGGAUCGGCUGCAUCCGAUCCGGGAAGUUACAAAAGACUGAUAUAGCCGAACCGGUUGGGACGCCGGGCCACAGGGGGUUAGAGCCCCGUAGGCGAAAUGUCGGUCUCUUCCUUAACCAGUUCCUGAGUACUACCGGACACGUGAAAUCCGGUAGGAACCUGCGGGGACCACCUCCGCAAGGCUAAGUACUAACUGGUGACCGAUAGUGGACUAGUACCGUGAGGGAAAGGUGAAAAGCACCCCGGGAGGGGAGUGAAAUAGAACCUGAAACCGUGUGCUUACAAGCGGUCGGAGCAGCCCUCGUGGCUGUGACGGCGUGCUUUUUGCAUAACGAGCCAGCGAGUUAUGGUAUGCGGCAAGGUUAAGCGAGAGCGGAGCCGUAGCGAAAGCGAGUCUGAAUAGGGCGCUUUAGUCGCAUGCUGUAGACCCGAAGCCGGGUGAUCUAUCCAUGGGCAGGGUGAAACGAGGGUAAGACCUCGUGAAGGCCCGAACCCACCUCGGUUGAAAACGGGGGGGAUGACCUGUGGAUCGGAGUGAAAGGCUAAUCAAACCCGGAGAUAUCUGGUUCUCGCCGAAAUAUAUUUAGGUAUAGCCUCGCGUGUUUACUCGCGGUUGUAGAGCACUGUUUGGGCUAGGGGCCCCCUAAAGGUUACCGACCUCAGACAAACUCCGAAGGCCGUCAGUCAAGAGCGCGGGAGUCAGGCUGCGGGGGCUAAGCUCCGUAGCCGAGAGGGAAACAACCCAGACCAUCAGCUAAGGUCCCUAAAUCGUGGCUAAGUGGGAAAGGAUGUGCGAGUGCACAGACAACCAGGAGGUUGGCUUAGAAGCAGCCAUCCUUGAAAGAGUGCGUAAUAGCUCACUGGUCAAGUGUUCAUGCGCCGAUAAUCCAACGGGGCUCAAGUCACGUACCGAAGCUAUGGGAUCCACGCGAUUUCGGUCGCUGGAUCGGUAGGCGAGCGUUCCCAUGCCGGUGAAGCGGCGGCGUAAGCCAGCCGUGGAGGCGUGGGAAGUGAGAAUGCUGGCAUGAGUAACGAAAGGCGAGUGCGAAACUCGCCCGCCGAAUGCCCAAGGUUUCCUGAGCAAUGUUAAUCAGCUCAGGGUUAGCCGGGUCCUAAGCCGAGGCCGAGAGGCGUAGGCGAUGGAGAACUGGUCAACAUUCCAGUGCCACCACCAAGCGUUUGAGCAAUGGGGUGACGCGGAAAGGUAAGCGGACCGUGGCGUUGGUUGACCACGGACAAGCGUAUAGGGCGGUCCCCAGGGAAAUCCGGGGACCAAUUAAGCCUGAGGCGUGACGUCAGCUGGCUUCUGCCGGCAAGCCGCCGAUCCUAUGCCGCCAAGAAAAACCUCUAGCGAGCUUAGGUGUGUGCCCGUACCAAAACCGACACAGGUGGGCAGGUAGAGAAUACCAAGGCGAUCGGGAGAACUAUGGCUAAGGAACUCGGCAAAAUAGCUCCGUAACUUCGGGAGAAGGAGCGCCUCGUUAGGGUGAUCGAAUUGACUUCAGAAGCCCGAGGAGGCCGCAGUGAUCAGGCCCAAGCGACUGUUUACCAAAAACACAGGUCUCUGCUAAGUCGAAAGACGAUGUAUAGGGGCUGACGCCUGCCCGGUGCCGGAAGGUUAAGUGGAGGUGUUAGCCGCAAGGCGAAGCACUGAAAUCAAGCCCCGGUAAACGGCGGCCGUAACUAUAACGGUCCUAAGGUAGCGAAAUUCCUUGUCGGGUAAGUUCCGACCUGCACGAAUGGCGUAACGAUUUGGGCACUGUCUCAGCCAUAGACCCGGUGAAAUUGUAGUAUCGGUGAAGAUGCCGAUUACCCGCGACAAGACGGAAAGACCCCGUGAACCUUUACUGCAGCUUGAUAUUGGAGCUUGGUGCACUUUGUCCAGGAUAGGUGGGAGGCUGUGAAGCGCGGACGCUAGUUCGCGUGGAGCCAACCUUGGGAUACCACCCUUAGUGUAUUGGGCUUCUAACGGUAGGCCGUGAUCCGGCUACCGGACAGUGUCUGGCAGGCAGUUUGACUGGGGCGGUCGCCUCCUAAAAUGUAACGGAGGCGCGCAAAGGUUCCCUCAGCACGGUCGGCAAUCGUGCGUAGAGUGUAAAGGCAUAAGGGAGCUUGACUGCGAGACCAACAAGUCGAGCAGGUGCGAAAGCAGGCCUUAGUGAUCCGGCGGUAGCAAGUGGAAGCGCCGUCGCUCAACGGAUAAAAGGUACUCCGGGGAUAACAGGCUUAUCCUCCCCAAGAGUCCACAUCGACGGGAGGGUUUGGCACCUCGAUGUCGGCUCAUCGCAUCCUGGGGCUGGAGUAGGUCCCAAGGGUUGGGCUGUUCGCCCAUUAAAGCGGUACGCGAGCUGGGUUCAGAACGUCGUGAGACAGUUCGGUCCCUAUCUGUCGUGGGCGCAGGAGAUUUGAGGGGAGUCGUCCCUAGUACGAGAGGACCGGGAUGAACAGACCUCUGGUGUAUCAGUUGUCGUGCCAACGGCACCGCUGGAUAGCUACGUCUGGAUGUGAUAACUGCUGAAAGCAUCUAAGCGGGAAGCACACCCCGAGAUGAGAUCUCCCACCAGGUAACUGGGUAAGACCCCUGGUAGACCACCAGGUUGA
rnacentral:rRNA from 1 species